GCCGGAGGGGUUGGCUGUUAUCUUUGGUUAUCUAGCUGUAUGAGUGUUAUUCAUUCUUCAUAAAGCUAGAUAACCGAAAGUAACAAGAAUCCCAUUACACACCUGAAAGGCAUCACCCCACCUUGAGAUCUGUACCCCUCUCCUCUCCUCUUUUUCCUCCUAAGUCUCCCUCACUCUCUCUCCUCCUCAAUCUCUGCAUCUUUUUGCGAGAGCAAGUCACAAAAUGGCCUCCAUCACUGCUGAUAGAGAAGACCAACCAUCCUUGAUGCCAGGGAAAGGAAAGAGUGAAGAAGCGGGGCAGGUUGGUUGUGUGGCUGUCGUCCUGCUGGCGUUGCUGCUCCCCUCCCCUUCGCUGCUCGCCUGCCCCCUUCCUCCCGUCACGAGAUGCAGUUUGCACAAAGCCACCAUCUUAGAGCAAGCCGGGCAUUAAAUGGAAGUGGAAAAUAAGCAGGUUUUUAGAGUCAAGACAAAUAAUGUGAAAAUCCAUUAAAUGGAGGAUCGGAGCGGAAACGGGCUGAUGGAGUCAAACGGGUCUUUACUAUGCAUGUGCCCCAACAUCAGAUAAAAGACAGCACUUUAAUUGUUCUACAUGACUUCAAUCAUUGGCAUUUCUCAAGCAGUUAUAGCAUCUAAUGUUCUAAGUGCUGUAUGAACUUAGCGUGUGCGCGUGUGUGUGUGUGUGUGUGUGUGUGAGGAAAAUCUAAGAAAGAGUUUGUACGGGUCUGGGUCAAAGUACUCAACAAACUGUGUAUUUGAACAAAAGCACUUGUUUGGAUUCUCCAAGUAUAUAAAGAUUAUAUUCGGGUAGUUCUAUAGUGAAUUUAAUGAGGUUUUCUAGAAAAUGUCAUUUUUAAAGGCCAAUCAUUUAGCCAAUCAAUUAAAGAAAGCGAUUUAAAAAAUGUCUUAUAAUAAAUUUAACAGUUUUAUCUAGUCUGUCUUGGUACAAUCUUUAGCAUAAUGCACUUUAUAACACGCAAACUGUUUUGUUUUAGUUUGGUAGUUUUCAGAAAAAUAAAGUGGCCUGUGUACAUUCCCUAUGUAUUUUUCCAAUAACUGAUUACUAAAUUAAAUCUAACAGGAAUUAUUAGAAAUGGUAUGUGAGGCUCUGUAGAUUCUGCAUGUAUGAGUGUGAGACCCACGGCAGCGGUGAACGAUACUGCACUCUGAUUGGACAGCUCAGUGUGUUGUGUGUCACACACUUGUUGGACAGAGAGCUGUUGUCUUUAAUUUCUAUGCAAUUGCGUUGGGCUUGCAAUCACCUGGAAGAGAAGGCAGAUCAGAGCAGCUUAUUUAUGACAACAGGUUAAAUCUGUUCUAAGGUGCGAAGAAUGUUUAGCAGAAUACGUAUGAAUAUUUAGUUCGUACUAAAACAACAACAAACUGUGUCAUCGACCACUAAAAAGCAUCUUCAUCUAGCUUUUGUGUUUUUUCAUUUUUGUUUCAGCACUCAAAUAGAAACAAAUUUAAGGGGUUUUAAAUGCUCUCUAAAUGUCUCUCUGUAUUUUGUGUUAAAAUCAAUCAUGGCUGAAGAAUUCAGUUGAAUAUGCAAAUGUUUUACAAAUAUAUUACAAUUUGAGGAGAAUUGUGCAAUGUAUUUUAUAAUCAUUUUUCUUCAAAUAUUUUUUUAUUACAGCAUUAUCCUUUCAGUUAAACUGAGAUAAUCUGUUUUUUUUAUUUCCCUGCAAAAUUUGACAAAUCAAGUUUAAUGUGAAGACAAUGGACUGAUGUCCAAAUGGGGCCUUUACUAUGCAGUUUGUAACUUCUGUAUUUUUCUGGGAUUUUGUAGAAAGUGAUUUUCAGCUAGAUAUGUUUUUGUAAUGAUAACCAUAAUAACUUGUUAUGCUAUAGUUCAAUUCAUUAUCUUACUGUGUGUUUUUCUUUUCAUGUUUCAGUAGAACGCAAAUGUAUAAGAUAUUUUUGUUACCUUUUUUUUUUCUCCGCAUGUGCCUUUUUAAUGUCCUGGUGUGGAUAUUAAUAAAAGUUUACUUUAAAAACAAAA